UACGUAGGGGGCUAGCGUUGUCCGGAAUCAUUGGGCGUAAAGCGCGUGUAGGCGGCCCGGUAAGUCCGCUGUGAAAGUCGGGGGCUCAACCCUCGAAUGCCGGUGGAUACUGUCGGGCUAGAGUGCGGAAGAGGCGAGUGGAAUUCCUGGUGUAGCGGUGAAAUGCGCAGAUAUCAGGAGGAACACCAAUUGCGAAGGCAGCUCGCUGGGACGUGACUGACGCUGAGACGCGAAAGCGUGGGGAGCAAACAGG
rnacentral:rRNA from 1 species